UGCUUGUACAGGGUAUUUGAAAAAGAAGUCCCUAGUUCCCAUUAAUUUAUACUUAAAACUAGGGAGUUCUUUUUCAAACACCCUGUAUAAAAA
ensembl:miRNA aca-mir-5455 aca-mir-5455